CUGCUGUUGUAGUCUUUGUGUUGUUGUUGUAGUCUUUUCAUCAGUAUAUACAGGCGUGUGCCUCCCAAAAAUGAAGUGAAAAUCAUGAAAUGAGAGGUGUGUACUUUGUCUCAGUUAUUGAUGUGUUGUCAAGUGAGGAUCAGCGUUGUGCUCUAUGCCUCUGAUCCCUUGAUUCUAUUUGCUAUAUGUAUGAAUUUAUUUUGCUUGUGCAUAGGGUUUGUGUUGUGGCUGAAAAUUCAGACCCUGGCUCAAUGCAAUGUUCUGUUGUUGUAGUCUUUUCAUGUGUUGGUACUUGGUACACCAGAUACAUGAGUUAAAUGUUCCCUAAUCAUGUACAAAAACUUAUUUCUGCUGCUAUUUUUUAGCAUAGUCUACUAAAAUGUUCCUCAGCUAAACAUCAACAAGUCAACUAAUGUCAAUGUACAAGGACAAAUAUUAGCUUCAGGUUAUGUCUAAGGGGCUUCCACUGUGAUCAAAAGUGCACUAAAAAUAAAAAGCAUUUCCUCAUAUUUAUAAAUCUCCUCUUUGUUUUGCUACUUUGCUUCAUUUUAAUUUGGCAUCCUUCUUAUUUCACGCCUCACCAAUGGUUUUACAGGUGCUGCCUACAAUACAUGGAUGAAUGUGGUCAUGGUACUGUUUAGUCCCUCAUGCCAUGUCCAUUUGUUUAGCUUCUUGAGCCUGUGAUGAAAAUUUCAUAUCCAUUGCUCAAUGAUAUGAUCUGAUGUUUCAUCGCUUGUGAGGUACUAGGCAUGAGCACUUUCUGAGGGUAAAUAGUUCUUAGCAUGCCUUGAAGCUCCAAGUUGAUAAACAAAUGAUGAUCAUUAUGCUUCUGAGGCCUCUAAAAAUCCUCUCUUCAUUCAGGGAAUAUUCGUAGUUCCUAUUCUUUUUGGUAUUUGAGCUACAUUUGAAUCCUUGGUUUGUAGUUCCUAUUCUUCUGUCGAGGUUUUCCCACAGGGUAUUCUUCAUGUGCCCUACUAAUGUUGCUUAUUUCCUCCAAAUUGUGUAGGUCAUCGGCCAAUUGAAGGUCUCAGUUCAUCUUUAUGGAAGUGCUAGGGUCUUCUGGUAUGAUAGAUCCUACCUUUUGUCUUAUCAUCUCCUCAAGUUAUUAAUGAGUUUGCCAUUAGGCCAAUAAAACAUCUUGGAUGUUCCAAAAUAGCUCUUAUUUUUCUUCUCUUUUCUUCAGACUAGGUACUCUCUGUAAGAUGCUUUUUACUAUAAUUGUUGAUGGUAUAUCAUGGGUACUAAAGUUAUAUGAUUAUGAGAGUUUUUUCCAAUUUAGUUAUAUAAAUAUCACGUGUAGAUCACUGUAAAUUCUGAGAGCUGGCAGCACAGCUGUAUGGUUGUAUCUAUUUUGAUGGUUUCAACAACAACUAUUGGUUAUCAGAGUUUGUGAAGGUUGGCAACUUCUAAAUGGUCGCUGAGUUUCUAUAUUCCCAACUUGAUUCAAAGAUAUAGGUAGAAAGUGAUGUUCGUCAGGAUAUAAAAGAUCUUGCCUACUUCAUGCAUAGAUGCUUAGAUUAUAUUUUUACCUGAAAUUUAUUAGUAUCAAUAACUACAAAAUCUAGAUUUUAACAAAACUACAUGGGUAACUUUUAAUUAUGAUCUUAUCAUCUACUAUGUCCUAUCAGGUUUUAAAAGCUGGGCACUUCUAACUGUUUAGUAGGCUUGAUCUUAAGGAAAAAGAAUUGUUCUAUUCUUAUUCCUAUCCCAGCUUCUAUGUGCAUGCCUUCUGGUCGUGUGACUGUGUGAGUGGCAGUGCUUCAGUAGUUCAGUCAUGGUAUUGGCUACUCUAAUAAAUUACACAGUGCUCUAGGUCAUUUGUUAGGAUGCUAAACCAUGCACAGCUAGCAUCUAAACUUGAACUUGAACUUGAAUCUUAGUGUUAGUUUUUUCUUAUAUGUCAAAGGUCUCUUCUUAUAAAUUUUAUUGGUUUGAAACACAAAUGCUUCGGUGUAGGUUUUUUUAGCAUUUAAUAAUACCUUAUGACUAGACUUUUGGAUUAUUGGUUGAUACAUGUAUUGUUAAUUUGCUGCAAUGCUUCAAAAAUAUUCUGUAGCUGCAUUGAAAGGCUUACGAGAGUAUGUUAGUCUCCUUUAGAUUUUGCACCUUGUGAUUAUAGGCUGCUAUAGUUCAAAUACUUUGUCUCUAAUUGCCUUGGCGUGCUAGCUUUGUGUGGCUAUUCACAUUCAUGGAGGUCUGUGUGUAUAGGGUGUCGAGGAGCACCUUUUACUUGCUAUCUUCAGGUCUUGUUGUUAGAGCACCGAUCCACACACACAGAGGAAGACACAGGUAUUGUGGGCUGCUAUGUAAUCAGCUAUAUAUAGUGAACUAUUGUGUGAGCCAGUUGUGUCAUGUAGGCUAACUAGAUUGAAACCAGUAACUAAUUGAUGUGCCUUGUCAUUGUUGCCACGCUGCAUCUUGCGCAUCAUUUUUCAAAACUUGGACCUACUUUAAGCAGUGCUUGUGUUCUUAUAGAAAUAAGGUCAUGGGCAUUUUUAGCCAGAGUUUUGCUUAUCCAUUUUUAUGGACUUUGCAGAUAUGCAUACACUCUUUUCAUGUAUGCGGCAAUUUUGGAAAGGGUUCAUACUAUCUGAAUUGAGAGUGAGUCGUUCAUCUGAAAGG
rnacentral:lncRNA from 1 species